rnacentral:tRNA from 13 species
GCACGGUUGGUGUAGUGGUAGCAUGUACGAUUCCCAUUCUUAUGUUUCUGGUCGAUUCCUGAAACUUGAA